rnacentral:misc_RNA from 1 species
AUUGUGUCAAACCAAGGACACCGAUUGGCAAGAGAGGCAAGCACAUGUCGAGCCAGUGACCCAGGAGCAUGCAAAUGCUGGCGAAGUUCGGAGAGGCUUGCAGAGCUCAGACUUGUCACUCUCAUAUAACCAAAAGGAUCGGAUCUCAGUAGCCAGAUGAUUAAUACUAGAAAUACUCUUGAGAUGCUUGCCGAAAUAAGGAGAUCCCUUGGAAACCAACACUGGAACUUCACAAGCAGCAGAUUCUAUCACAGACCCUCUCCCAUUAGCACUAGAUCUGCACAAUAAAACAAAACCAAUAGUAAUACCAUCUAUUGGCAAACCAAAACCAGAGAAGGGGAGGGAUGG